rnacentral:rRNA from 1 species
AACAGACGCUGGCGGCGUGCUUACACAUGCAGUCGAACGAGAACGGGUAUUAGCUUGCUAGUACUGUCAGCUAAGUGGCGCACGGGUGAGUAAUAUAUAGGUAAUGUGCCUUGAAGAAGGGGAUAACAGUUGGAAACGACUGCUAAUACCCUAUAUGCCUUUAAUACAUAAGUAUGCAAGGGAAAUAUUUAUAGCUUCAAGAUCGGCCUGUACAGUAUCAGCUAGUUGGUGAGGUAAUGGCUCACCAACGGCAAUGACGCUUAACUGGUUUGAGAGGAUGAUCAGUCACACUGGAACUGAGAACACGGUCCAGACUCCUACGGGAGGCAGCACGCUGGGGAAUAUUGCACCAUGGGGGGAAACCCCUGAUGCAGCAACGCCCGCGUGAGGAUGACACAAUUUCGGGAGCGUAAAACCUCCCUUUUAUUAUAGGGAAGGAAUAAUGACGGGUACUAUAUUGAAUUAACCCGCGGGUAAACUCCCGAGCCCCACAACCCCGGGGAAAUGCGGACGGCGCCAAAGCGUUAACUCGCG